GUGCCAGCCGCCGCGGUAAUACCGGCAGCCCGAGUGAUGGCCGAUCUUAUUGGGCCUAAAGCGUCCGUAGCUGGCUGCGCAAGUCCGUCGGGAAAUCCACUCGCCCAACGAGUGGGCGUCCGGUGGAAACUGCGUGGCUUGGGACCGGAAGGCGCGACGGGUACGUCCGGGGUAGGAGUGAAAUCCCGUAAUCCUGGACGGACCGCCGAUGGCGAAAGCACCUUGGAAGGACGGAUCCGACAGUGAGGGACGAAAGCUAGGGUCUCAAACCGGAUUAGAAACCCCUGUAGUCC
rnacentral:rRNA from 1 species